rnacentral:rRNA from 1 species
ACGCACGCUGGCGGCGUGCUUCACACAUGCAAGUCGAACGGAAAGGCCCUGCUUUUGUGGGGUGCUCGCGUGGCGAACGGGUGAGCAACACGUGAGUAACCUGCCCUUGACUUUGGGAUAACUUCAGGAAACUGGGGCUAAUACCGGAUAGGAGCUCCUGCUGCAUGGGGGGGGUUGGAAAGUUUCGGCGGUUGGGGAUGGACUCGCGGCUUAUCAGCUUGUUGGUGGGGUAGUGGCUUACCAAGGCUUUGACGGGUAGCCGGCCUGAGAGGGUGACCGGCCACAUUGGGACUGAGAUACGGCCCAGACUCCUACGGGAGGCAGCAGUGGGGAAUAUUGCACAAUGGGCGGAAGCCUGAUGCAGCAACGCCGCGUGCGGGAUGACGGCCUUCGGGUUGUAAACCGCUUUCGCCUGUGACGAAGCGUGAGUGACGGUAAUGGGUAAAGAAGCACCGGCUAACUACGUG